GAUGAACGCUGGCGGCGUGCCUAAUACAUGCAAGUCGAGCGAACAGACGAGGAGCUUGCUCCUCUGACGUUAGCGGCGGACGGGUGAGUAACACGUGGAUAACCUACCUAUAAGACUGGGAUAACUUCGGGAAACCGGAGCUAAUACCGGAUAAUAUAUUGAACCGCAUGGUUCAAUAGUGAAAGACGGUUUUGCUGUCACUUAUAGAUGGAUCCGCGCCGCAUUAGCUAGUUGGUAAGGUAACGGCUUACCAAGGCAACGAUGCGUAGCCGACCUGAGAGGGUGAUCGGCCAAACUGGAACUGAGACACGGUCCAGACUCCUACGGGAGGCAGCAGUAGGGAAUCUUCCGCAAUGGGCGAAAGCCUGACGGAGCAACGCCGCGUGAGUGAUGAAGGUCUUCGGAUCGUAAAACUCUGUUAUUAGGGAAGAACAAAUGUGUAAGUAACUAUGCACGUCUUGACGGUACCUAAUCAGAAAGCCACGGCUAACUACGUG
rnacentral:rRNA from 1 species